rnacentral:lncRNA from 1 species
UGCCUGGGACAUCCGGAGUUUCUGCAAAUAAAAAGGCAGGAUGCUUCCACCGGCGAGCAUCAACGAGAGACAGUGACCACCCCAGCUCUGAACAACCGCAUCGUGAGAAAAGCCCCAUUAUGAUCAGCACAAAGGUCCUCCUAGUCGGCCUCCUCGUCCUGGCUCUUGUCUUCACCAUCGCCGUGGCUCAACGUGGAGGUUACGGCCGCGGAUUCGGCGGGGGACGCGGAUUCGGCGGUGGUGGACGUGGAUUCGGCGGUGGACGUGGUUUUGGUGGUGGACGCGGAUUUGGAGGAGGACGUGGAUUUGGAGGCGGUCAUGGCGGAUACAGAGGAUAAAUGCUCCAUUCCACGUAACAUCUCCCGAUGAGGGACCGACGUAAGGUGCAGUCCGGCGGCGCUUGUUACAGGCUAGAGGGCUGCACUCCCGCGGAAUGCAUUCCUUUCGAAA